GUUGCCGUGGCCGAGCGGUUAAGGCUAGAUCAACUAUAAAUCUUUUGGGAUCUUCCGGCGCAGGUUCAAAUCCUGCCGACAUCG
rnacentral:tRNA from 1 species